rnacentral:RNase_P_RNA from 1 species
GGAGGUGGACGGAGGAUCGCCGGCGGGCAAUCACCGCCCGCGGGAGGAAAGUCCGGGCUCCACAGGGCGGGGAGGUCGCUAACGGCGACCCGGGGCGACCCGAGGGAAAGUGCCGCAGAAACCACACCGCCGAUGGCCCCGGACGGGGCACAGGCAAGGGUGAAAUCGUGGGGUAAGAGCCCACGCGCGACAGCCGGGCGACCGGCGGCGGGGCAAACCCCUCCCGGAGCAAGCUCGAAUAGGGAUGCCGCCUGGGGUGGCCCGCCCCAGCGCCCGCCGCAAGGCGCGGCCCGGCUUCCGGGUGAGAGUGCUGGAGCCCGUCAGCAAUGGCGGGCCUAGAUGAAUGAUCCUCGCCGGCGCAAGCGCAAGCGAACGCCGGAACAGGACCCGGCUUACAGUCCACCUCCGGCU